UACGUAGGGGGCUAGCGUUGUCCGGAAUCAUUGGGCGUAAAGAGCGUGUAGGCGGUCCGGUAAGUCCGCUGUGAAAGUCGGGGGCUCAACCCUCGAAUGCCGGUGGAUACUGUCGGGCUAGAGUACGGAAGAGGCGAAUGGAAUUCCCGGUGUAGCGGUGAAAUGCGCAGAUAUCGGGAGGAACACCGGUGGCGAAGGCGGUUCUCUGGGCAUUACCUGACGCUGAGGAGCGAAAGCGUGGGGAGCAAACAGG
rnacentral:rRNA from 1 species